rnacentral:misc_RNA from 1 species
GCUGCAAAUCUGAUAAUAAGGAAGGAUCCAAAUGAUACAGAAAAGCAUAUACUGCAGAGGCAUGGAACUUGUGUAGAUACAUGAAUAACUAGCUGCUGCAUUUAGUCAGUUGUCAAACAUCACGAGUUAAGACAGAAUUUGCAAAUAGAUAGGAUAGAGUCCUACAGGAAAUAGCAUUAAAAUUGCAAUUGGGAUAAGCGUAGCAAUGUCGGUCAGUGUUCUCUUCAACUUCCUUCUUUCCCUCCUUGACAAUCUAUGGCCGCGUAAUUGCUUUAAUAGUAGUUCCAAACCAUCCAUGAUGUCUACAAAGAGCAAUUGGGUU